UUGCAAACUUUGUAAAUGUUUGCGGAGUAAAUAUUUUCGUUUUGAGUAUUGAAACUGAGUUUAAGGUAACCAGUUUGUAGAGUCAUGCCAUGCACGUAAUUUAAGCUGAUAUCUUUCAUUAACAUUGUUCAAUUGCAAAUGGAUACCGCUGGCACUCGCUAACUUUUAAGUUUAAAAUGUUCAACCAACCCGCAACCAGAAAAUAGAGGUGAAUUGAUCUGAAAAAGAAUGCCGUCCAGAAUGCAGCAUUCUCAAAAUAUGGUUGCUAAAAUAUGGACUUAUGAUCUACGGCAGUGAAUGUGAUGAAGAGUAGUGGAAAUAUUUUCUUCUCAAGAUGAACUACAUUCUGACGUCAUGAGAUAAUAAUACAACAGUUCUGUUCGCCCUCUCCGAUCCCUUUGGCCCGGCUAGGUUAUAAAUGGUAGUACAGUGUAUGGCGACACAUUCUGGAGGUAUUGGAAUACUCCAACAGUUCUUGCUGUCUCCCUCUUGGGUUUAUACAACCCCCGGAAGUACAGAGAAAAGAGCAUACACAGUGUGGAAUCUCGAAUCUCGAUAGCCUCUUAAGAGGACGUAAAAGCAACUCUGAUCUUGGAGGCUGGAAUUUCAACAAUUUCAGAUGUCGAAGGUAAUGGAUAGCAGCGUCUAGAAAUGCCCACUGUACAACUGAGAAGUGCUCCUUUGUUGCCCUCCUUCUCCAGACACUACAUGUCAAUAGUCCGAACAAAAAGUUUUAAUAUAAGUAACUGCUAAGGAGGGAUUGUCGUUGAGAAAGGCAUUUAAAAGACCAAUCCAGAGCUUUCUGCCUUCAAAAUGUUUUUUUCACAGCAGACCAUUAAGUUUUACAACAGAUAGAAACAGAAUCCUUAACAAACUGUGCCCAGCCCAAAACCUACCAAAUCAGACUGAUUAAAGCUGCUCAUAUCUGCUAUAGCAUCAAUUAAAAAUCAAUGUUAUAGCUGAAUACAGCGACGACUCCGAACUAAUCGAUGAAGAUGCGAUGCUGGUCGCUUCUUGUAUUAAAAAUAAUCUGAGACAAACAAUGUUAUUACUAUAAUAUUGUAGCAUAACGA